AUUCCAGCUCCAAUAGCGUAUAUUAAAGUUGUUGCAGUUAAAAAGCUCGUAGUUGGAUUUCUGGCAGGAUGACUUUGCCCUCUGUAGAGUGCGCAAUGCUGUCCUACCAUCCUUCUGUUAACCCUGGAGGCCUUUAACAGCUUGUAGGGGGCUCAGAUAUUUUACCUUGAGAAAAUUAGGGUGUUUCAGGCAGGCUAGCGCCGGAAUACAUUAGCAUGGAAUAAUAGAAUAGGACUUAAGCCUCUUCUGUUGGUCUGAGGGGUGUAAGUAAUGAUUAAUAGGGAUAGUUGGGGGCAUUAGUACUUAACUGUCAGAGGUGAAAUUCUCGGAUUUGUUAAAGACUAACUUAUGCGAAAGCAUUUGCCAAGGAUGUUUUCAUUG
rnacentral:rRNA from 1 species